rnacentral:ncRNA from 1 species
CUCGAAAAAGCCAGAACUUUUGCGAGAAAGUGACGGAAAGCCGCGGGUCUUCCGGGAGGAAGAUGGCCGAGCUGCCGAAG